AAGCCUUAAUGGUGGAAAGGAUGUGUCUCAGGUGGGAGGAAAAGACAUCCUGUGGUCCCUACUAAAGUAUAAUUCUCUGAAGAACAACAAUUUGAAGAGGUUGAACCAACAGGUAACAAUACAGACUGAUGACUACUUAAAAGUUCCUUAGGAAUAAUGGCUAAUGAAUUGGAAAAAAAACCAGAAGAAAGAAAUAGCUUAACACCUCAAUACCAGCAGAAACUCCUGCUGAGACAAAUGUUCCAGGGUGUGUUCACUGUGAUAUUCAAAGGGAAGCAAAGUGCAAAGGGGCAAGAAAGCAGGUGUGUUAUAACACUAUGAUUCAUUUUCUUAGAGGAUUAAAAUUCAUGCAAGAAAAAAUCAGUGGUGAAGUUAUAGUACAGAAUCAUCAUUUGCAUCAUGACAAGAAUAUGGCAAGGUGAUUUCCAAUACAUGGAAUUAUCUGUAAAAUUAUGAAUAGCCAGAUAUUUAUGGAUGAAUAAAUCUGAAAAUCCUUUUUGAUACAUACCCUGUGGCUAACAUCAAUU